rnacentral:tRNA from 1 species
AAUAGCUUAAUUGGUUUAAAGCGUUCGACUGUUAAUCGAGA